CUCGACCUUAUAAACCUUGACCUC
rnacentral:rRNA from 1 species